rnacentral:rRNA from 1 species
CCUAGGAGGAUCCUGAGUACGGCGGAACACGAGAAAUUCCGUCGGAAUCCGCGGGGACCAUCCCGCAAGGCUAAAUACUCCCUAGUGACCGAUAGUGAACCAGUACCGUGAGGGAAAGGUGAAAAGCACCCCGGAAGGGGAGUGAAAUAGAUCCUGAAACCGUGUGCCUACAACAAGUCAAAGCUCGUUAAUGAGUGAUGGCGUGCCUUUUGUAGAAUGAACCGGCGAGUUACGAUUGCAUGCGAGGUUAAGUCGAAGAGACGGAGCCGCAGCGAAAGCGAGUCUGAAUAGGGCGAAUGAGUAUGUAGUCGUAGACCCGAAACCAUGUGAUCUACCCAUGUCCAGGUUGAAGGUGCGGUAAAACGCACUGGAGGACCGAACCCACGUACGUUGAAAAGUGCGGGGAUGAGGUGUGGGUAGCGGAGAAAUUCCAAACGAACUUGGAGAUAGCUGGUUCUCUCCGAAAUAGCUUUAGGGCUAGCCUCGGAAUUGAGAAUGAUGGAGGUAGAGCACUGUUUGGACUAGGGGCCCAUCUCGGGUUACCGAAUUCAGAUAAACUCCGAAUGCCAUUCAUUUAUAUCCGGGAGUCAGACUGCGAGUGAUAAGAUCCGUAGUCGAAAGGGAAACAGCCCAGACCACCAGCUAAGGUCCCAAAAUAUAUGUUAAGUGGAAAAGGAUGUGGGGUUGCACAGACAACUAGGAUGUUGGCUUAGAAGCAGCCACCAUUUAAAGAGUGCGUAAUAGCUCACUAGUCGAGUGACCCUGCGCCGAAAAUGUACCGGGGCUAAACAUAUUACCGAAGCUGUGGACUACACCAUUAGGUGUAGUGGUAGGAGAGCGUUCUAAGGGCGUUGAAGGUCGAUCGUGAGGACGGCUGGAGCGCUUAGAAGUGAGAAUGCCGGUAUGAGUAGCGAAAGACAGGUGAGAAUCCUGUCCACCGUAUGACUAAGGUUUCCUGGGGAAGGCUCGUCCGCCCAGGGUUAGUCGGGACCUAAGCCGAGGCCGAUAGGCGUAGGCGAUGGACAACAGGUUGAUAUUCCUGUACCAGUUGUUUUUGUUUGAGCAAUGGAGGGACGCAGUAGGCUAAGGAAUGCAUGCGAUUGGAAGUGCAUGUCCAAGCAAUGAGUCUUGAGUAGAGUUAAAUGCUUUACUCUCUAAGGACAAGUUGUGACGGGGAGCGAAAUAAUAGUAGCGAAGUUCCUGAUGUCACACUGCCAAGAAAAGCUUCUAGUGAGAAAACAACUGCCCGUACCGUAAACCGACACAGGUAGUCGAGGAGAGUAUCCUAAGGUGAGCGAGCGAACUCUCGUUAAGGAACUCGGCAAAAUGACCCCGUAACUUCGGGAGAAGGGGUGCUGACUUCGGUCAGCCGCAGUGAAUAGGCCCAAGCGACUGUUUAUCAAAAACACAGGUCUCUGCAA